GUAUCUGAAAAACAGUCUGAAAGAAAUACCUGUAACUUGGCGUUUAUUUGCAUGUGCACAUUGUGAGGGCAACAUAUCAUUUUUAUUGCAGUGUGAACUGUGAAUUAAUAGUUGCGUUUGAAUCAAUUCACUGCUGUAUUAGCAGCCAGUGAAACGUAUCUCACGGCCAUCAUUAUCAUCAAGUGGUAUGCAAGAUGAUACAAGAUAAGAUCUGAAAUUUUCUCAGGUGUAAUAUUAACAGGAACCCGACCAUUUGGAAAAUUAAAUAAUCGCAUACAGUGAAGGACAGCUUAUAUAUUAGAUUAUACUGCUUUUUUUGCACCAUGCAAAUAUUUUUGUUUUUACAGUCUAAGUAACUGCAGUGUGCCUUUUUCCCCCAGAGUGCCCUCUCUCUGUGAGGGACCUCAAGCUUCACUUUGACAUCACAAGUUACUUUCACUCAGUGAGUCUGUGAUGUUUAUCUGUUUGCCAUAUCAGUGACCAGCCUGGACGGAUCUCUUCAUUAUCACCUACUUAGUACAUACUUGUCUGCUGUCAGACAGCUACUUUAGUCUUGUCUAGUCAUAUUCCCUAAUAGUUUUUGAGUGCUCGUUGGUUUGUUUUCAUUGGAGCGUACAGCCACACUUUAAACGUGCAGUGUCUUUGCAGGCCUGUUCCAGUGUCUGACAAAAAUGAUCGGAAUUACAAUUACAAAGGAGAUCCAUGAUUUCUUGCAGCCUGUCAUGUCCUCAGCGUCCUUGACGCCCAAAUGAUAAUCAUGGAUAUGGAUCUCGUAACUUUCACUUGAGGCUUUGCCGGAAAAUGCUGAUGCAAGAAGGGCUCUGAAUCUCCAUCCCUUUUUCCCAUUGGCUCAUUGUCUCCUCCCACAGUGCAGUCACGAGGUCUAACAUUAUGAUGAUGUCUGGAGAAAACAGGCUUUCAUCUCGGCUGUAAUGCGUCUUGAGCUACAAUGAAAUGAUAUUCUGGGUUAUUUCUGUUGCACACAGAGUCAAUUUUGAGUAAUGUUUCAAAGCAUUGCUCUGUACGAGAGCAUCACCUACCAUUGUCUGUCGUAAACAUUGGGUUGUUUGCCUCACCAGCCUCUGCUGCGUCAUGACGCAGUUUUCCUUUGAG
rnacentral:lncRNA from 1 species